rnacentral:rRNA from 1 species
CCCUUAGAUGUUCUGGGCAGCGCGCGCGCUACAAUGGUCUUCGCAAACGGAUGCAUUCUCGAAGGAGAAUGCCAAUCUUGGAAUCUAUGCCUUGGUCGGGACAGUUGCUUGCAAUUUUUCGACUCGAACCAGGAAUUCCUUGUAAUCGUGAUUCAUCACAUCACGAUGAAUACGUCCCUGCCCUUUGUACACACCGCCCGUCGCUCCUACCGAUCGAAGAGUUAGGUGAAUUGUUUUGAUCGAUAAGAUUUGACUAUGGUCAACUCUCGUUGGGAAAUUCUGUGAAUCUGACUGUUUAGAGGAAGGAAAAGUCGUAACA